UAGGGAAUAUUGGACAAUGGGCGAAAGCCUGAUCCAGCAAUGCCGCGUGAGUGAUGAAGGCCUUAGGGUUGUAAAGCUCUUUUACCAGGGAUGAUAAUGACAGUACCUGGAGAAUAAGCUCCGGCUAACUCCGUGCCAGCAGCCGCGGUAAUACGGAGGGAGCUAGCGUUGUUCGGAUUUACUGGGCGUAAAGGGCGCGUAGGCGGCAAUUCAAGUCAUCUGUGAAAUCUCCGGGCUUAACUCGGAACGGUCAGAUGAUACUGCUUUGCUAGAGUGCAGAAGGGGCAAUCGGAAUUCUUGGUGUAGCGGUGAAAUGCGUAGAUAUCAAGAGGAACACCAGUGGCGAAGGCGACCACCUGGACUGAUACUGACACUGAGGUGCGAAAGCGUGGGGAGCAAACAGGAUUAGAUACCCACGUAGUCCCUGAGCGGGCUGGCAAGGCGCAU
rnacentral:rRNA from 1 species